rnacentral:rRNA from 1 species
UACAGAGGUCCCGAGCGUUGUUCGGAUUCAUUGGGCGUAAAGGGUGCGUAGGUGGCAUGGUAAGUCGGGUGUGAAAUCUCAGGGCUCAACCCUGAAACUGCACUCGAUACUGCCGUGCUCGAGCACUGGAGAGGAGACUGGAAUUUACGGUGUAGCAGUGAAAUGCGUAGAUAUCGUAAGGAAGACCAGUGGCGAAGGCGGGUCUCUGGACAGUUCCUGACGCUGAGGCACGAAGGUCAGGGGAGCAAACGGG